UCGUCAAGGUAUUAUACUAGCGUUAUGCUCACUUAAAAGGCAAUAUUUUUUCUUUUAAAUAGGACGAGGCCUUUUUUCUUGACAUUCCAGAUGCCGCGCUACAAGCUUUAAACUUUGAACAAGAUGGAAGUCAAAACCACCCAAUAGUUUUCCUGAAAUUACAGAAGAAGACUCAUCAAGCGUUAUUCCUCAAGAAGAAAUGUUGAAGGUGAGCGCGCUUAAAGAGGCCAAGAAAUUUCCCUUUGAGGCAGCUGCAGUUGGAAGCAAGGGUAUUAAGCACAGCGAUUUUGAACAGCCCUGC